rfam:Dipodomys ordii contig_62391, whole genome shotgun sequence.
GGGAGUAUGGCUUAGUGGUAGAGUGCUUGUCUAGCAUGCAUAAGGCCAGGGGUUCAAUUCCUUAGUACCA